CCUGCUCAUUGAUCUUGAUCUAAUCGAGCUGAAACUAUCAAAAGUGACAGAAAAUGUUCAUCUUCCCAUAUCUUGUACGUCAUUGUCAAAUGGAUUGGACACCACCUUUAAAGGCUUUUCUUUUUCCAAUCUCCACUUGAAACGACUACUACUCCUUUUGGAGGAAGCAAUCUCCAUGAAAACAACUCUUGCCUCCACAUUUUAGAACAAACUUACAAGGCAAAAGAGACACCAACCUACUCCCUCUGCUAGUCAGGUCAGCAUCUCCACCAGAUUUUUGUUUAGUCAUAGAACUUAGACCUUAAGACUUCUCGCCACCUAAAUACCAUCCUUACUUAAGAAUUAUAUUUGGUAUCAAGUCCUGAAAAUUUAUGGAGCGCACAGAGACUAUGGCCCCAUCUAAAACAGGAUUCCUAGCCAUUGUGAUGGUCCCAAAAUAUCAGUCAGGGGGUGCCUGAAGCUAAAAACUAAGGGCAUCUUCCUCUCUGUAUGAUAUCCCCGAGGCAGGUAUACAAGAUGAUAACGGUGAAAGGAACAAGUCGAUACAAACUUUAACAAGAAACCAAGAACUAACUGCCACCAAAACACCAGCAUACAUAUCUAUAUAUUUUUACAGGGUGAUUAAUUUAGGUCCACGCCAACCCACAAACAAAGAACACAAAUUCCAUUUCUAACCCUGACUAGCUAAGUUCCUCCAGUCCAUUGUCUUCACUACACCCUUAAUCAAAGACCCAACAUGCUUUUCCUUCACCCAUCUCCAUCCAAGUGCACGCUCAAAAAAAACUGAGCAAACUGAACCCCCACCAACAGGACCUUCCUUUCGCCAUCCCAAACCAAAGAAAAAUUAAAUAAAACUAUACAAAUCAAAGGUUCCAAACUUUUCAGGUCUCAGACUAAUGCUGUGAGUCCAAGCUUGCAAUUGUCCCUUCAUCCUCUAGAGAUGAUGCAAGAAACUUAUAUCUUGUGCUCAUCUUCUUUACUUCCUCACUUGAAUAGAUUAGUAUCUUCUUAACCAUCUUACAGAACUCCAGCCAU
rnacentral:misc_RNA from 1 species